CCUACGGGAGGCAGCAGUGGGGAAUUUUGGACAAUGGGCGAAAGCCUGAUCCAGCCAUGCCGCGUGCAGGAAGAAGGCCUUCGGGUUGUAAACUGCUUUAGUUCGGGAAAAGGGAUGCUUGGUUAAUACCCGAGUGUUUUGAUGGUACCGGAAGAAUAAGCACCGGCUAACUACGUGCCAGCAGCCGCGGUAAUACGUAGGGUGCGAGCGUUAAUCGGAAUUACUGGGCGUAAAGCGUGCGCAGGCGGUCUUGUAAGACAGUCGUGAAAUCCCUGGGCUUAACCUAGGAACUGCGAUUGUGACUGCAAGGCUAGAGUGUGUCAGAGGGGGGUGGAAUUCCACGUGUAGCAGUGAAAUGCGUAGAGAUGUGGAGGAACACCGAUGGCGAAGGCAGCCCCCUGGGAUAACACUGACGCUCAUGCACGAAAGCGUGGGGAGCAAACAGGAUUAGAUACCCUGGUAGUCCACGCCCUAAACGAUGUCGACUGGUUGUUGGGUGGGUAACCACUUAGUAACGAAGCUAACGCGUGAAGUCGACCGCCUGGGGAGUACGGUCGCAAGAUUAAAACUUAAAGGAAUUGACGG
rnacentral:rRNA from 1 species